GGGGCUACGUUCUGCCGCUAAUAGCUCCGUACAACGAGGCAAGGGUGUCGGUUUGUAACUUCCUGUUUGGACCGGACGCAAUCUGUGCACCUGAAGUGAAGACAUCUGCGGUGUGAAGCUGUUGGAGACAACUAUUAUAUGAAAGCAGACACAGAGGAUGGCUGAAGGUGCGAGGCGAAGGAGAAAGCUGAGGCCAUACAGUGUUCACUUCAACAGAAAGACCAGAAUGGGCUCAAGGGCAGGUUCAUCACUGAUCUUAAAGGUGACUCUGAAGAAGGACCGGUUACUAUUGGAUGAUCAGGACUGUGUUGAGAAGAUGUCACCUGUCAAAGAGCAUGUGUUGAAUGAGGAGCAG